UACAGAGGUCUCAACCGUUGUUCGGAUUCAUUGGGCGUAAAGGGUGCGUAGGCGGUCGCGCAAGUCGGAUGUGAAAUCUCGGGGCUCAACCCCGAAACUGCAUUCGAUACUGCGUGGCUAGAGUGCUGGAGGGGAGACUGGAAUUUACGGUGUAGCAGUGAAAUGCGUAGAUAUCGUAAGGAAGACCAGUGGCGAAGGCGGGUCUCUGGACAGUUCCUGACGCUGAGGCACGAAGGUCAGGGGAGCAAACGGG
rnacentral:rRNA from 1 species